CAAGUCGAACGAUCCCGCCUCGGCGGGAUAGUGGCAGACGGGUGAGUAACGCGUAGGAAUCUACCCCUAUCUUGGGAAUAACCUGGCGAAAGCCAGGGUAAUACCCAAUAGUCCCUGCUUGCAGGGUAAAGGAGCAAUCCGGACAGGGAGGAGCCUGCGUCCUAUCAGGUAGUUGGUGGGGUAAAAGCCUACCAAGCCAAUGACGGGUAGCCGAUGUGAGAGCAUGAUCGGCCACAAGGUUACUGAGACACGGAGCCUACACCUACGGGUGGCAGCAACCGGGAAUUUUGCGCAAUGGGCGAAAGCCUGACGCAGCGACACCGCGUGUGGGAAGACGCUUUUCGGAGUGUAAACCACUGUGGCAGGGGAUGAAUUUUGACAGUACCCUGCUAGAAAGCACCUGCUAACCACGUGCCAGAAGCCUCGGUAAUACGUGGGGUGCAAGCGUUAUCCGGAAUCACUGGGCGUAAGCGUCCGUCGGCGUCUUGACAAGUUCUUUAUGUAAGCCUGGGGCUCAACUUCAGAUCCGUGAGGAAAACUGUCAAGAUUGAGUCUGUCUGGGGAAACUGGAAUUCUUGGUGGAGGGGUGAAAUCCGUAGAUAUCAAGAGGAACGCCAAGCGCGAAGGCAGGUUUCUAAGACAGUACUGACGCUCAGGGACGAAAGCUAGGGUAGCAAAAGGGAUUAGAGACCCCUGUAGUCCUAGCCGUAAACGCUG
rnacentral:rRNA from 1 species